UAAUCUUUACAUAAAAAAUAAAAGAGUUUAAAAUUGUAUUGUGUUAUUUAGCGAUAAGAAAAGCGUGAUCAAGAUUUACGGUAAUUUUUUUAUUCGCUUGUCUAUUUACUUUGUAAAUUCAAAAAUCGCAAAUUCAAAACGCCUAAAAUGACCGGCGGAUAUUUCUGUCACGAAAAACAUAAUAGUUACAAAAUCAAGCCUUGAAAUAAAUAUGAAAUCAUCGAAGAAUGGCGUACACAUCUUUUCCCCUCUCUCCCGAUUUUUUACGGUAAAAGGAUACUUACUUUUUUUAAAGGAUUGGUUCCAGGUCCGUUUAAAAUUCCGCUCGAAAAUCGACGAGCGGGCAUCUCGAAUUUUUUCGGCUUUUUUCGUUGCGUCUCCUAAGAGGCACACGAGACACGGGUCGUCGUUGUAUCGCGCUCUUGGAACGAACGACGUCGGAAAACGACGUCGAGGAACGCGGAGGAUCCACGGCGCCUGGAGCAAUUGCACACGCGUGCACAUGCGUGUACGUGGUACGGUUGCGAAAUUGGGUCAUUCGGAAAUUGAAACGCCCGCGUAGGUAACCGCGUCUGAAGUUACCUGAUAAGAGAGGAGAAACGGAAUGGUCACAGAUGCUUAUCGUUCAUCACGCAUCGACGAGGCGCCGUUGAGCAAUUUUCUUCGCGUAGCCGGAAGCGGGUGAGUGGAUCCCGUCGACAAUCUGUGAUUCUCGGAUCUUCCCGUUACUACAUCGAUCAUCCCUCGUGUCUUUUACGAGCAGCACUGUUGAAGAUACGACACGUUAGAUCCAUUGGGAUCGAGAUGCAGGGUUGCUUCCGAGAUAAAAAGGCUGAUCGUAGAUAGCGACACUUACAGCGCGUCAUUUGAAGUCGAAAUUUAAAUAAUGGGUUAUUCACGUAAUAGUUCAUACAAUUGGAAAGAUGAAAAGAUUAAUUGAGGUUCCUUUGUACAAUACUAAAAAAA